UAGUUGAACUUUGGGCCUGGCUGGCCGGUCCGCCUCACCGCGUGCACUGGUUCGGCCGGGCCUUUCCCUCUGGGGAGCCCUAUGCCCUUCACUGGGUGUAGUGGGGAACCAGGACUUUUACUGUGAAAAAAUUAGAGUGUUCAAAGCAGGCCUAUGCUCGAAUACAUCAGCAUGGAAUAAUAGAAUAGGACGUGUGGUUCUAUUUUGUUGGUUUCUAGGACCGCCGUAAUGAUUAAUAGGGACAGUCGGGGGCAUCAGUAUUCAAUUGUCAGAGGUGAAAUUCUUGGAUUUAUUGAAGACUAACUACUGCGAAAGCAUUUGCCAAGGAUGUUUUCAUUAAUCAGGAACGAAAGUUAGGGGAUCGAAGACGAUCAGAUACCGUCGUAGUCUUAACCAUAAACUAUGCCGACUAGGGAUCGGACGAUGUUAUUUUUUGACUCGUUCGGCACCUUACGAGAAAUCAAA
rnacentral:rRNA from 1 species